UACGUAGGGGGCUAGCGUGGUCCGGAAUCAUUGGGCGUAAAGCGCGUGUAGGCGGCCCGGUAAGUCCGCUGUGAAAGUCGGGGGCUCAACCCUCGGAUGCCGGUGGAUACUGUCGGGCUAGAGUGCGGAAGAGGCGAGUGGAAUUCCUGGUGUAGCGGCGAAAUGCGCAGAUAUCAGGAGGAACACCAAUUGCGAAGGCAGCUCGCUGGGACGUGACUGACGCUGAGACGCGAAAGCGUGGGGAGCAAACAGG
rnacentral:rRNA from 1 species